rnacentral:ncRNA from 1 species
AGAAAAGCAAUGAUGGGAAGAAGUAGAUUUUCUAAGAACCUACAGAGAGCUGCCGGAUGGUGAGAGGCGCACAGGUAACGGAAAGUUGAAUACAUCCCGGAGCAUCGCACCGAAUGAGAUGUUUCUUUAGUAGGCUGCGACGGCAGCACCCGUUAUAGUGCAGGGGUAUAUUUGUACCUGAUGAGGCAUCGGAUGUGAGUCCGGUGUGAAGUAAGGUGGUAACACGUUAAUACGUCCUUACG